ACCUUAACUCAUAUUAUUUUCUACAAACUUUAUAUUACCUAAUAUGCUAAGUUACAGAAAACCUCCUAUAAAUAUCUAAUUUUCAAUUUUCAUCCCUAAUUUUAAUAAAAAUCUGUAGUGUUAAUAGAGAGGGCAAAAAGAUUAAAUUGUCUUUACUUCUUCUAUAAAAAAAUAAUUUUUAAUAUAUUUUUAUUAUUUUGAAAGGUAUUUUCAGUAUAAAUUAUAAAAAAAUAGAUAGAAUAGUGAUGACAUUUUAACGAAGGGGGACUAAAUAUAAUAAUUAGAAAUAUUGAGAAGGUAAAAUAUAGAUUUUUAAAAAUUAGAAAGUAAAGUAAAAAAUAAAUAUUUAUAAAGAAU
rnacentral:lncRNA from 1 species